UACGUAGGCAGCGAGCGUUGUUCGGAGUUACUGGGCGUAAAGAGUGCGUAGGCGGUUUUCUAAGUUUGGUGUGAAAUCUCCCGGCUUAACUGGGAGGGUGCGCCGAAAACUGGAAGGCUUGAGUAUGGGAGAGGUAAGCGGAAUUCCUGGUGUGGCGGUGAAAUGCGUAGAUAUCAGGAGGAACACCAGCGGUGUAGACGGCUUACUGGACCAUAACUGACGCUGAGGCACGAAAGCGUGGGUAGCAAACAGG
rnacentral:rRNA from 1 species